CCCUCGAAUAUUUUAUUUCAGUAUUAUGAAGUACCUUACUAGUAUAAUAAAUUGAUCGUUGAAUUCGGUUCUCAUCCUUCUGGAUGAGUACCGAACUAACCAUCUCAGUCGAAGUCAUCAAAUAGAGAUACAAAGUUUUUCCAACCUUUGAUUUUGUAAGUAGCGGUAGAGAUACCAAAUAUCUUUUUAGAUCUUCGAAGGACUGUCAGUAC
rnacentral:lncRNA from 1 species